rnacentral:rRNA from 1 species
UACGUAGGGUGCAAGCGUUGUCCGGAAUUAUUGGGCGUAAAGAGCUCGUAGGCGGUCUGUCGCGUCGGCUGUGAAAUCCCGAGGCUCAACCUCGGGUCUGCAGUCGAUACGGGCAAACUAGAGUAUUGCAGGGAGACUGGAAUUCCUGGUGUAGCGGUGAAAUGCGCAGAUAUCAGGAGGAACACCGGUGGCGAAGGCGGCCUGCUGGCUAUGGCUGACACUGAGGCGCGACAGCGUGGGAGCAAACAGG